rnacentral:misc_RNA from 1 species
GGCUUGUAUUCAUGGACGUCAGUUAAAUCAUCGACGUUAAAGUUAACGACCGUUGGUUAGGGAACCAACGGUUAAAUCCUAACCGACGUUAGAACUAGCGGCAUAUUCAUGGGAGAGAAAGCAUGCUGGGUUACUAAACCGACGGUCUAUUUUAGGCACUCAGGGUAUCCCCGUCACUGCGCAUGCGUUAACAAGGCGAGUACGUAGAAACCAAUAUGGCGUCAAACCAAGUUACAAAAAAGCGGAAGGCAAAUUGUUCUCACAACAAGGUGGUGAUGCUGGAGAACACUCUAAAAAUAAAAAAAUAAGUAUGUAGAACCUAUGUUCAGAUUUGUGUCGUCGCUGGGAGCCGCAACACGUACCAGCGAUGAAGUGCGGGGUAAAGUUUUCAAUUUGAAACAGGAACAUCGAGCGCGAGCAUCAGCAAUUAAGGAACAAAACGGGGAAUGGAGGGGCUGCCACAAAACCCUAUGACGACGUACAUCCUCGAUGCCAUUGUUGGGAAAGACAAAGCUAAUCAUGGGGUGAAAGUCCUUGACACAGCUGCAUAGCAAGGAUGGUAUGGUUGAUACAGGCCGCAUCAGGCAUCGGGCAAAAUUUUGGGAGUCUUCAGAAGCAUAUCAAACAGUUGAGGUGCAGACCCAACACCAACCACCGACAAUAUCUGAGCGGCCACUGAAUGAUAUUGAUGAAAUACAGAUCCCACCACAUCAGACACCAGUGGAACCAAAG